rnacentral:lncRNA from 1 species
AUGUAUCAGGGAACAGAACUAACAACAGCUGUAGAGUAUUUACUUUAUGUCAGCCACUGUACUGGGCCCUUUACAUAAUCACAGAAUCAUGACACUUCUUACAACAUACCUGUGAGAUAGGUUUUAUUAGUCUUGUUUUAUGGAAAGCGAAAUUGUGAUUCUGGGAUAUUAAGUAGCUUACUCAAGACCCACAGUUUAAGUGGUGAAUCCAGGACUGGAAUCUAGGACUGUCCUAUUCC